rnacentral:rRNA from 1 species
UUUUCCGGUUGAUCCUGCCGGACCUGACUGCUAUCGGAUUGAUACUAAGCCAUGCGAGUCAUUGUAGCAAUACAAGGCAGACGGCUCAGUAACGCGUAGUCAAUCUACCCUAUGGACGGGAAUAACCUCGGGAAACUGAGAAUAAUGCCCGAUAGAACAUUAUGCCUGGAAUGGUUUAUGUUUCAAAUGAUUUAUCGCCAUAGGACGGGACUGCGGCCUAUCAGUUUGUUGGUGAGGUAAUGGCCCACCAAGACUAUUACAGGUACGGGCUCUGAGAGGAGUAGCCCGGAGAUGGGUACUGAGACACGGACCCAGGCCCUAUGGGGCGCAGCAGGCGAGAAAACUUUGCAAUGUGCGAAAGCACGACAAGGUUAAUCCGAGUGGUUUCUGCUAAAGAAACCUUUUGUCAGUCCUAGAAACACUAACGAAUAAGGGGUGGGCAAGUUCUGGUGUCAGCCGCCGCGGUAAAACCAGCACCUCAAGUGGUCAGGAUGAUUAUUGGGCCUGAAGCAUCCGUAGCUCGUUUUGUAAGUUUUCGGUUAAAUCCAUGCGCUUAACGUAUGGGCUGCCGGGAAUACUGCAUAACUAGGAAGUGGGAGAGGUAGACGGUACUCGGGAGGAAGGGGUAAAAUCCUUUGAUCUCUUGAUGACCACCUGUAGCGAAGGCGGUCUACCAGAACACGUUCGACGGUGAGGGAUGAAAGCUGGGGGAGCAAACCGGAUUAGAUACCCGGGUAGUCCCAGCUGUAAACUAUGCAAACUCAGUGAUGCAUUGGCUUAUGGCCAAUGCAGUGCUGCAGGGAAGCCGUUAAGUUUGCCGCCUGGGAAGUACGUACGCAAGUAUGAAACUUAAAGGAAUUGGCGGGGGAGCAC